rnacentral:rRNA from 1 species
ACGGCUGUCGUCAGCUCGUGUCGUGAGAUGUUGGUAGUCCUGUAACGAGCGCAACCCCUAUCCACAGUUGCCAUCAGGUAAAGCUGGGAACUCUGCGGAGACUGCCGGUGAUAAACCGGAGGAAGGUGGGGAUGACGUCAAAUCAUCAUGCCCCUUAUGACCUGGGCUACACACGUGCUACAAUGGUUGGUACAACGAGUUGCGAGUCGGUGACGGCGAGCUAAUCUCUUAAAGCCAAUCUCAGUUCGGAUUGUAGGCUGCAACUCGCCUACAUGAAGUCGGAAUCGCUAGUAAUCGCGGAUCAGCACGCCGCGGUGAAUACGUUCCCGGGCCUU